AGUGAACGCUGGCGGCGUGCUUAACACAUGCAAGUCGAACGAGAACGGAUUAUAGCUUGCUAUAAUUGUCAGCUAAGUGGCGCACGGGUGAGUAAUAUAUAGGUAACGUGCCCCAAAGAAGAGGAUAACAGAUGGAAACGUCUGCUAAGACUCUAUAUGCCUUUAUGACAUAAGUCAGCAAGGGAAAUAUUUAUAGCUUUGGGAUCGGCCUGUACAGUAUCAGUUAGUUGGUGAGGUAAUGGCUCACCAAGUACAAUGACGCUUAACNGGUUUGAGAGGAUGAUCAGUCACACUGGAACUGAGACACGGUCCAGACUCCUACGGGAGGCAGCAGU
rnacentral:rRNA from 1 species